UACGGAGGGUGCAAGCGUUAUCCGGAUUUACUGGGUUUAAAGGGUGCGUAGGCGGGUUAUUAAGUCAGUGGUGAAAGCCUACAGCUUAACUGUAGAAUUGCCAUUGAUACUGAUGAUCUUGAGUAUGAUUGAGGUGGGCGGAAUGUGUCAUGUAGCGGUGAAAUGCUUAGAUAUGACACAGAACACCGAUUGCGAAGGCAGCUCACUAAGUCAUAACUGACGCUGAUGCACGAAAGCGUGGGGAGCAAACAGG
rnacentral:rRNA from 1 species